rnacentral:rRNA from 1 species
CCCUUAGAUGUCCUGGGCCGCACGCGCGCUACAAUGAUACACGCAACGAGUCCACCUUGUCCGAAAGGUCCGGGUAAUCUUGGAAAUGUGUAUCGUACUAGGGAUAGAUUUUUGCAAUUCUGAAUCUUGAACGAGGAAUUCCUAGUAAAUGCGAGUCAUCAGCUCGCGUUGAAUACGUCCCUGCCCUUUGUACACACCGCCCGUCGCUCCUACCGAUUGAGUGGUCCGGUGAGGCUUUGGGAUCUGAGCGGAAAGAGCGUUUCGCUGUUUCUGCCCGGAAAACUCAGUCGAACCUUAUCAUUUAGAGGAAGGAGAAGUCGUAACA